UAACACGUGAGCAACCUGCCCCGAAGACCGGGAUAACACCGGGAAACCGGUGGCUAAUACCGGAUGCCCUCAUCACAUCGCAUGGUGUGACGAGGAAAGGAUUUAUCGCUUCGGGAGGGGCUCGCGGGCUAUCAGCUUGUUGGUGAGGUAACGGCUCACCAAGGCUCCGACGGCUCGCUGGUCUGAGAGGACGACCAGCCACACUGGGACUGAGACACGGCCCAG
rnacentral:rRNA from 1 species